AUUGAACGCUGGCGGCAUGCCUUACACAUGCAAGUCGAACGGCAGCGCGGGGCAACCUGGCGGCGAGUGGCGAACGGGUGAGUAAUAUAUCGGAACAUACCCUAGAGUGGGGGAUAACGUAGCGAAAGUUACGCUAAUACCGCAUACGCACUAAGGUGGAAAGUGGGGGGAUCUUCGGACCUCAUGCUCAUGGAGUGGCCGAUAUCUGAUUAGCUAGUUGGUGAGGUAAAGGCUCACCAAGGCGACGAUCAGUAGCUGGUUUGAGAGAACGACCAGCCACACUGGAACUGAGACACGGUCCAGACUCCUACGGGAGGCAGCAGUGGGGAAUUUUGGGACAAUGGGGGGCAACCCUGAUCCAGCAAUGCCGCGUGAGUGAAGAAGGCC
rnacentral:rRNA from 1 species